GACCUGCGGAGGGUCAUUACUGAGUUUUUAACUCUCCAAACCAUGUGAACUUACCACUGUUGCCUCGGUGGUCGGUGCUGGAAACAGUGCUGCCACCGGUGGACUACUAAACUCUUGUUAAUUUUUGUCAAAUCUGAAUCAAACUAAGAAAUAAGUUAAAACUUUCAACAACGGAUCUCUUGGUUCUGGCAUCGAUGAAGAACGCAGCGAAAUGCGAUAAGUAAUGUGAAUUGCAGAAUUCAGUGAAUCAUCGAAUCUUUGAACGCACAUUGCGCCCAUUAGUAUUCUAGUGGGCAUGCCUGUUCGAGCGUCAUUUCAACCCUUAAGCCUAGCUUAGUGUUGGGAGACUGCCUAAUACGCAGCUCCUCAAAACCAGUGGCGGAGUCUGUUCGUGCUCUGAGCGUAGUAAUUUUUUAUCUCGCUUCUGCAAGCCGGCCAGACGACAGCCAUAAACCGCACCCUCUCGGGGGGCACUUUUUUAAUGGUUGACCUCGGAUCAGGUAGGAAUACCCGCUGAACUUAAGCAUAUCAAUAAGCGGAGGAAAAGAAACCAACAGGGAUUGCCCUAGUAACGGCGAGUG
rnacentral:rRNA from 1 species